CGUCUUAGUUCGUGGAGUGAUCUGUCUGCUUAAUUGCGUUUCACUAAGGGCCCAUAAAUUCAAGGUAUGUUAGCUAUCGUUUCUCAAUUGACCCCUUGUCUUCGAUAAGCGCGUGUCUUUUAGAGUUUAAACAUUGCGCAUGCUGUUGGGUCCUGAAAGCAACGAACGUGACCGCAACGUCUUAUUGCCUUUAUCUUGCUAUAUUUUAAUUUAAUUAAAAAUAACUAACAGAGGCUAAUUUAAAAUUAGACGGACCGCUGUACUUUUCUUAAACCAGAGGAAGGUUGCGGCAAUAACAGGUCUGUGAUGCCCUUAGAUGUUCCGGGCUGCACACGUGCUACAAUGAUCAGUACAGUGAGCAUCUCAAUAUUAUACACCGUAUUAAGCGCUUAGUUGCGAUUAUUGGCUCAUUAUUGGGUCUUUUAAUUGUAUUUCUAAUGCGCGCGGUAAAGCCUGCUUCGAGAGUAAGUGGGUAAUCCAUUGGAAGUAAUGAUUUCUCUUUUUAUAGCACACCUAUAUACGGCAUUCAUUCCCGGGACGACUAGUUUCGUCUUUUUUGUGCGAAUGUAAUGUAUUCUUUAUCCGUAUGUGCGAUUGUCAAUUCAUG
rnacentral:rRNA from 1 species